AUGAAAGGACCCAAACCACGUAACAACAACAACAGGAAGAGACCACCGCGCUACGACGAUACUGUUUCCUGGAGCAGGUUCUUCUGGUGCACCUUCUUCGUCUUCUUCAACCUCCUCCUCCUCUCCGGCUUCACCUUCUCCACCUUCCGCCUCCUCUUCGUAGGGCUGUUGAUAAGAUGGCCAAGUGUAACACAAACUGCCGUAACCGUCGACUCUCCGAUCAUCAUUUCCGUCAGAGAAGUAGUUACGAUGCCGGAUCAGUCACUAGUUUUCCUGAACCGCCCUCGAACCGGUCGCUUAUUUACAAAGGAAGAUAUCGACUGUUUUUACUUUUCACCUAAUGACAUGUCCCGCCGGCCUCUCUUCAAGCAACCGCCGCUAGACAUAGACGGCGAGGAUCGCUACAACCAGAUCGUACGGUGCCCGCUUCAUUCCGGAGGCGGCUUUAGGGUUUCAGUUGGUUUAAAGCAAAACGGCGACGUAACGUCGGCGCCGACUUACAUGGGAGUAGCUGGCGUACGACGCGGUCAUUGACCACGAUAACACCACCGUCGUUUUCGUUAAGGGCCUCAAUUUACGGCCGGAUAGGGUUUCCGAUGCUUCGAGGUUCGAGUGCUUGUACGGCUGGGACUUCAGUACUUCCAAGCAUUUGUUGAAAUCCGACGUCGUUUCGUUGGCACAAGAGAUAGUACGGUGUAAAACGCCGUUGAGUGUGUUGACCAAGAGCAAACGUGGGGUGAAGGUUUCAGUUAGGUUGAAAGGCGGAACAAUGGUGGACACUAUAGCCCGGCCGGGGCUCCGGCCCGGACUGGUGGAACCGCCCCGGAAUUAAGAGCAUGUAAUGUGUAUAUGCUCCAUGGUGAGGAACUUGAAGGAAUGGGUGAUGUACCAUGCUGAAAUGGGAGUGCAACGUUGGUUUAUUUACGACAACAAUAGUGAUGAUGAAACUGAUGUUGUAAUUGAGGUGCUUCAGAGUGGGAACUACAAUAUUACCCGGCACCUGUGGCCUUGGAUCAAGACCCAGGAGGCGGCCGGGUUCGGCCAUUGCGCGUUGCGGGCACGCAAGACAUGCCAAUGGGUAGGGUUUAUUGAUGUGGACGAGUUUUUUCACAUGCCUUCGAGAUUGUCACUACACAACGUGCUGCGUAAUCAAUCUAUGUAUGGUUAUGUGGGUGUGGUCCGUCGGGAUUGAGGAGUGUCCCGGUCCAAGGCGUGACAGUCGGGUAUACAUGUCGCGUUACCGCCCCGGAGAGGCACAAGAGCAUUUUGAAGCCGGAGGAGUUGGAUUUGACAUUGAUGAAUGCGGUGCACCAUUUUCAUCUUGGAAGUGGUUACGAGCCAGUGAAUGCGGAUAGGGGAGUGUUGGUUAUCAAGCACUAUAAGUACCAAGUGUGGGAGGUUUUUAAGGAGAAGUUCUAUAGGAGAGUGGCGACCUAUAUGUGGCGGGCUGGCAGGAGGAGCAGAACGUGGGUUCCAAGGAUCGAGCACCUGGGUUGAGGACGAAGGUGGUGGAGCCACCGGAUUGGGCGGAGAGGUUUUGUGAGGUCAAUAACACCGGACUUAGGAACACCCUAGGGUGUUGAAGAACCUGGCUGAUCCGUAUACAGGGUUUUUGCAGUGGCAGGAGGAACUCAAACCCUUCACUUUCUCCGAUCCAGAACACCCAACAAUGGUGAGAGAAGAAGAACCAAAACAGAGCCCAAGAACUCAACCCAGAGAAUCAAACCCAAUUGAGAUCGGAAACAGCACAAGUGGCGGGACUAGCUCGUUGUUCAGCCCCAGAUUCAAAUCGGCGGCCGCCAUAGCCGGUUGGGACGAAGAGAGUCUCUUGAUGGCGAGCCUCAUUGUCGACGACACGCCGGAGCAAGAUACCAAGCAGAAGAAACGAUCUGUUUUCAGGUCCAAGACUACUCCACCCACCAAUUCAUCAAGAAGAAAGCGGAGAGUUCAGCGAAAGAGCCCGGUUUCGAUCCCAGUGGGUGUUCUUGACCUUGAUAGUGUAGAAACUACAAAAGAGGAGAGUGUGAAGGAGAAGGUAGAGCCUGAGAUUGUUGUUGUGAAUGAAGAAAAGAAAAGAAGGGAAAAUGAGAAGAAGGGUGAGAGCUCUGGUGCUUCGUGCUCGAGCUCGAAUCUUCCUUGCAUAGAUAAGCUCAGGGAUGAGCUUUCUUGUGCUAUCUGCUUGGAGAUUUGCUUUGAACCCAGUACCACUCCUUGUGGACACAGUUUCUGUAUGAAGUGCUUGCGAUCUGCUGCGGAUAAAUGUGGGAAGAGGUGCCCCAAAUGCAGGCAGCUAAUGAGCAAUGGAAGAUCUUGCACCGUGAACACGGUUCUGUGGAACACAAUUCAGCUUCUGUUUCCGCAAGAAGUUGAAACAAGGAAAGCAGCUGGAGCCUUGAAUAGUCGUGAAGAAGCUGAGAGGAAAAUCCCUGAUAAGGCCUUUAGUAGUAGCAACUCAAGGAAUCAAAGCAGAAGAGUAUCAGGUAGAGAUCUGGCUGCAAGGAGAAGAAGGGCAGUUUUAAGCCAAGAUGAAGACGAGGAUGAUCCUGCGCCACUUGCUAUAAGGUUACAGAUGAGAGAAGCUCAGAAUCAAAAUCGGGAUCCAGGAACCUUCACUCGACCAGCAAGGAUAUCAGCAGCUAGAGAAAUUCAGCCUAUCAGGAGAGUAUCAAGCAGAGAUGCAAAUCCAACGAGUAAUAGAAGUGUGCCAAACCAAGAUGAGGAUGCUGCAUUAGCUCUGAGGUUACAGAGGGAGGAGUUUAUGGAGGCUUUUAGGGGAACUACUGAUCAGUCUAGUGCCUCUCUUUCGUCUGCUAGAGCAAACAUCCGAGCCAUGGCAUCUAGAGCCACUAAUCGUGGUGCUGCAACCCGAUUUAUGUAA